UACGGAGGGUGCAAGCGUUGUUCGGAAUCACUGGGCGUAAAGCGCGUGUAGGCGGCCUUCUAAGUCUGGUGUGAAAGCCCGGGGCUUACCCCCGGAAGUGCACUGGAUACUGGAAGACUAGAGUACCGGAGAGGAGGGUGGAAUUCCUGGUGUAGCGGUGAAAUGCGUAGAUAUCGGGAGGAACACCAGUGGCGAAGGCGACUACCUGGCCUGUUUCUUGACGCUGAGGCGCGAAAGCUAGGGGAGCAAACGGG
rnacentral:rRNA from 1 species